UACAGAGGGUGCGAGCGUUAAUCGGAUUUACUGGGCGUAAAGGGCGCGUAGGCGGCCACCGCAAGUCGACUGUGAAAUCUCCGGGCUUAACCCGGAAAGGUCAGCCGAUACUGCGGGCUAGAGUGCAGAAGGGCAACUGGAAUUCUCGGUGUAGCGGUGAAAUGCGUAGAUAUCGAGAGGAACACCUGCGGCGAAGGCGGGUCACUGGGCCGCAACUGACGCUGAGGAGCGAAAGCAUGGGGAGCGAACAGG
rnacentral:rRNA from 1 species